rnacentral:rRNA from 1 species
ACGGCGUAGGAAAACAUAGGAACGUACCCUCUGGCCGGGGAUAGCUACGGGAAACUGUAGGUAAUACCCGAUGAUCUCUGCGGAGCAAAGGUGUGAUUCCGCCGGAGGAGCGGCUUAUGCGAUAUUAGCUAGUUGGUGGGGUAAUGGCCCACCAAGGCGAAGAUGUCUAGGGGGUGUGAGAGCAUGGCCCCCACGACCGGAACUGAGACACUGUCCGGACACCUACGGGUGGCUGCAGUCGAGAAUCUUCCGCAAUGGACGAAAGUCUGACGGAGCGACGCCGCGUGCGGGAUGAAGGCCCUUGGGUUGUAAACCGCUUUCGGAGGGGAUGAAAUCUCUGAGGGUACUCCCUCAGAGUUGACAGAGCCUCAAAAGAAGCACGGGCUAAGUACGUGCCAGCAGCCGCGGUAACACGUACUGUGCGAACGUUAUUCGGAAUCACUGGGCUUAAAGGGUGCGUAGGCGGCAAUCCAAGUCAGAUGUGAAAUGCCUGAGCUUAACUGAGGCACUGCGUUUGAAACUGGACUGCUUGAGUAUUUCAGGGGUGUGCGGAACUGCCAGUGGAGCGGUGAAAUGUGUUGA